CAUCGCCUCUUGCAUAACCACAGUAUAAGAGGUCCCGCCUGCCCAGUGACAACUUAGUUCAACGGCCGCGGUAUUUUGACCGUGCAAAGGUAGCGUAAUCACUUGUCUUUUAAAUGAAGACCUGUAUGAAUGGCAUAACGAGGGCUUAACUGUCUCCUUCCCCUGGUCAAUGAAAUUGAUCUCCCCGUGCAGAAGCGGGGAUAAAACCAUAAGACGAGAAGACCCUAUGGAGCUUUAGACACACAGGUGGCCCAUGUCAAAUACCCCCAGCUAAGGGCCUGAACUAAAUGGAACCUGCCUUGAUGUCUUCGGUUGGGGCGACCAUGGGGAAUACAAAACCCCCACGUGGAAAGGGAGCACACCCCUAAGUUACUUCUUCUCCCGCAAGCCAGAGCAACAGCUCUAACAAGCAGAAAUUCUGACCAAACUGAUCCGGUAAAACCGAUCAACGAACCAAGUUACCCUAGGGAUAACAGCGCAAUCCCCUUUUAGAGCCCAUAUCGACAAGGGGGUUUACGACCUCGAUGUUGGAUCAGGACAUCCUAAUGGUGCAGCCGCUAUUAAGGGUUCGUUUGUUCAACGAUUAAAGUCCUACG
rnacentral:rRNA from 1 species